UACGUAGGGUGCGAGCGUUGUCCGGAAUUAUUGGGCGUAAAGGGCUCGUAGGCGGUUUGUUACGUCGGGAGUGAAAACCCAGGGCUCAACCCUGGGCCUGCUUCCGAUACGGGCAGACUAGAGGUAUGCAGGGGAGAAUGGAAUUCCUGGUGUAGCGGUGAAAUGCGCAGAUAUCAGGAGGAACACCGGUGGCGAAGGCGGGUCUCUGGGCCGAUACUGACGCUGAGGAGCGAAAGCAUGGGUAGCGAACAGG
rnacentral:rRNA from 1 species